rnacentral:rRNA from 1 species
GACAGAGGUGCCAAGCGUUAGGCGGAAUCACUGGGCUUAAAGCGUGUGUAGGCGGGUCGUUAAGUGUCUUGUGAAAUCCCCCGGCUCAACCGGGGAAUGGCUGGGCAUACUGGCGAUCUUGAGCAGUCUAGGGGCAGAUGGAACAGACGGUGGAGCGGUGAAAUGCGUAGAUAUCGGGAGGAACACCUGUGGCGAAAGCGGCGCACUGGACCAUAACUGACGCUGAGGCGCGAAAGCUAGGGGAGCAAACAGG